GGGAAUGUAGUUAAUAAUAACAUUUAAUUUGCAAUUAAAAAGUAUCUAUACGAUCUUUCUCA
rnacentral:tRNA from 1 species